GGUGACAUGGAGAGACCGCCCUGACAGGAAGCUUCCAGGCCCCAGGAGGAGGCCUGCAGGGGGCCUUGUCUGCCCUGUGCAGGGGGCUGGGCUGGGCCCAUCCUGGGGUAUAUGAGGCCUCCCUCUGCCCCUCUGUCCCAUCCACCAGCGGCUGGGGCUGCAGUGGAGCCUUUAGAGGUUCUUCCAUUUUCCCUGAGGGGGGCACUCACCAGCUGUAAGGUCUGACAGUGUAGACACACGUUAUGACUUUCUGGCCACCACUCCUAACCCCCUUGCACACGCUGACGGCUCACACACUUAUCCACUCACUCUCACGCCACAGACAUUUACUGAGCUCCUGCUGCAUGCCCUGCAGUGUCAGACGUGGGCCCUCACGCAGAGCCCGGAGCUGCUCUUGGGAGCUCACUCACUGCUCUGAGCCUCAGAUGACCACGUGUCCUGAUGUGACCUGUUACUAUUGGGAGGCUAUCACUCCCUCACAUUGUCACAUACCCUUGGGCUCACACUCCUCAGACGAUCACCCCAAUGGACUCUCUGGGGUCCGCGAGCCCCCAUCACCCAGGAGGAUACACUUAACUCAGCAGUGUCCGUCCGCCCGCCCGCCAGGCCGGUGGUUCCCACUGUGGCCACAAGGGGGCGCCAGUCCAACGCAGCCGCAGGUUCCCGCGCUUGCGCACUCCUAUGAACUGCUGCGAGUCCCGCCGCUUGACCCGAUGUCGUAGAGAUACCGCCACUCAGGGGGGGUCUCUGGAGGUCAGGGCUCCAGGUCCCACCUCGGCCAAGCCAGAGGGAUGAGCAGUCACGCUCUCGCUUGAGGAUCUACGAUGUGUCGUCUGAUUCGCACAGCCGCCACCGUUUUCUGGACGGAAAAACAGGCUCAGUACCCUCCCGGCCGCGCAUUGUCCACUGUCACCGCACCUCGUGUCCCUGGACCCAAUCCCGGCCCCUCUAGUCUGACCGCGGCUCCCAGCAGGCAGGCCCCCCGAGGAGGGUGGCCAGCGGGGGCUCCUGCUUUUUGGAGAUGAAUAAAUGCAGUCUGGCUCCUCCAUCCUAGCAGUGCCUGUGCUGGUUCUGGAAGAGGAGAAUUUACGCGCAGGGCCCAGCCUGGCCCCGACACCAGACCCGGGGCUGCCCUGAGCCUAUGCCCUUGAUCGCCAGCCCUAACUAUACAUUGAGGGUGCCGCAUCUCCUGACGGGCCCAGGGAAACCCACCCACAGUGGGGGGCAGGGCCAGGAAGCCUCCCACCAACGCAGGUGGGUUUAGCAGUGCUCCCUCCCAGGCAAACACUUUAGGGGGGUCUACUUUGAAAACCCAUGCACCCCUGGUCCCUUGUGGUCUCUCCCCCACCCUGCCUGCAUCCCCACCAGCCACAAGACCCGCUCUAGGUGCAGACAGAAGCAGGUUGAGAUGCAGUCAGGAGCUCAGGCCCUGGUGUCCUGGGUGACACCUGGCCAUGGGAACCAGCCCCUUCAGUCAGCCACUUUUGAAAUUCUGCUACUGUAGAACCCAGGACCCUCUUGGAUUCUUGGAAUUGGAGGACGGUUAAAAGUGCCCUCCCCUGCACCAGCUACCCCCAGAGGAGCCAGUCUCACACUGUCCUGCCCAGGCCUGGCUCCAACACCAGACAGGGAGGCCCUUGAGGCCCAGGAUGCCCAGCUUGGGGCCUGCCAGGAGGGAUAUGGUGGGGAGGAAGAGGGGUCCGCUGGUGUUUGCUGAGUGAAAAAAUGAACAAACCUGCCCAAAGCUGGAGGAUCAGCCAGGAGCAGGAACUGCCCCAGGCUCUUUCUGUCCCAGGGUCCUUUUGUGGCUUGUUCUUAGUGCCAGAAUCGGUGCAGGUCCCAGGAGCUGCGACAUCCUGUGCAGGCCUGGGGCUGCCCCUCACUUCUGAACAGCAUCUUCGAACCCUCUGAGGAGCUGCUGUCGCCCCAUUGGGGCCACUGGGGCUUAACCGUGGAGACAGGCUCUGACACACAUUGCAACAUGGUGUGACCAUUUCUGUAAUAACAGGCUGGCGAGAUAAAGAAGUCUUUCCGGGGCUGGGUCUGACCGGGAUUCGCCGGCUGGGCCCCAGCUGGACCGGCUCGUGUCCCCCUCUCUUCCACAUCUGGGUCCAGGAGCGCUGGUCCCGCUCUCUCAGAGGCCCACACACCUGCUUAACGUUCUACCUGUGCGACCUCCGUGUCCCAUGACUAAACGUUGACCUCAGGAUGACCUGCAUCUCAAGCCCGUCCAGGUAACCGCCAGACGCUGAAGUGGCUGCUUCGCGGACGGCCCUGUGCCAGCCCCUGCGAGCCCACCCCCUCCUCCCUGCCACCCCGUGAGGAAGGAGGGCCGGUUCCUGCCUUGAGGAGCUUCCAGCUGGAGGAGGGCCAGGUGUGCACAGGGAUGCACUUGAUAUAACAAUACAUUUUAUUGCAGUGAUUCUAAGAUGGAGGUACAUGCCAGGUGCUGGGAGGACAUUAGGGGAGGCACCAAAGCCAACCAGGGGACAGUUUCUAGUGGUGCCAGACCCUGGGGUAGGUAGGACUGAAGGACAAGGGUUCGCUGGGUACUUACUGCAAGGCAGCGAGGGCCCUGCGGGAGGAGCCUGGCCUGAGCCACCUGAGAGGGGAGAAGCCUUAGAAGAGGGGUCCCAGCGACCUUUGGUUUUAUUGUGUUUUUUUGUUUGUUUGUUUUAAAAUAUUUAUUUAUUUUGUGGUUGCAUUGGGCACACGGGAUCUUUUUUGUUGCGGUGUGCGGGCUCUUCGAUGCGGCGCACGUGGGGUCUUAGUUCCCCUGCAUUGCAAGGCGGAUUCUUAACCACUGGACCCCCAGGGAAGUCCCUCAGCGGCCUUUUGGUUGAGGCUCUCCAGGCGCACACCCGAACUCCCCCGACCUCGUCUGCCUUCCCGAGUUUUUCCGCUCUGCUUUUGGCCCCCAGUUCCUUGGGGGCUGAGUCAGUCACUGGUGAAUACAGUAAUGUUCAAUCUUGAAAAGUCUGGAACUAGCUCGUCCGAGUAAAGAGUUGGUCACAAAAACCCUACUAGGUAAUAACAUAGUGUGGGUAGGAAUAUUUUCCUUUUUCGAAGUUCACUGCAAUAAACAAUUUGCACAGUUUAAGUAUAUUGGGAAAGGAAGAUAAUGCAGGUGGGCUGGUAAUCAAAUAGAUUAUAUAUUUGAUUAUAUAGAGAGAUAAAUUAAAUGUGUUUUAAUAACUAAAGAAUAUUUAUAAUUAAUUGUUUUAAAAAAUUUUAAGUGCUCCGCAAAGGAGUUUGAGUUUUAGGAGGGUGGCUCCAGUCAGCUAUGGAGCUGGGCCGGCGGGGGUGGGGGCCGGUGCUCGGGGCAGGGGACCACCCUGAGGGUCUGCUGCUCCAGUCCAGGUGAGAGGUGGUCGGUACACGCUCUGCCCGCCGGCCCUGGGCCCCAUCCGGGCACCUUCCGUCUCGAGGAGGGAUUGCCCUGCUCUGGCAGUGGCCAGAGAUGGAGGAAGGAGAGAGGGCAGGUCACCUGGAUAAGGAGAGGAGGGAGGGUGAUGUUGGGGAGCCCCCUUCCGGGGCCAGGCGGUAGGGGGACAGCAGGGAGGGGGUGCCCCUAGGCUUGCCUUGAGGGGUGAUGCUCCAGUUCUGGGUCUGGCCCGGCUGGCUGGGUGGUCUUGGACAAGCCCCCUUCCCUGCUCUAUGCCUCGUCUGAGAAAUGAGGAUAACUCCCUUCUGCAGAGGGGGGCCGUGGGGAGCCGUGGUUGCCAGGUUGGGGGACCGUUUGGACGAGGAGAUUCCACAAGGCGCGGCAGGGCUGUCCCUGGGGCUGCCUGGACCCCAGGACUGGCUCCUCUUUCCGUGGCCCCUCCCCAGCCAGGCCCUCCUGGAGGGGGGUGGGGUGCAGUUUUCCUCUUCAGACCCCUCCCUUACAAUGCCAAAGCCUUGGGCCCAGCACAUUCAGCCCCUAAGCGGUCCAACCAGUUGUCUGGGAGAAAGGGGGCACGUGGGAGGGGCAGCAGGAGGUGCCAGAAGCAGCCUCCCCCAGCCCAGCACGCACAGCGGAGCCUCUGGGGCUCCGUAUGCUGCAGACAGACCCUCGGACAGACAGACAGUUGGACGCUUGGCCUGACCAUGAGGCUCAGCGGGGGACAGUCUUCUCUUCUGACGGCACUGUUGCCGCUGCUGACCUGCCUCCAUCUGGGGAUGAGUCUGGGUGAGUGAGGGUCGGGCAGGGCAGGGGUACCCACUGUGCUUCAGGCUUAAGGAAGACAGACCCCACCUCCCCCGCCGCCUCCUGAGCCCCGAGUCUGGGGACUGGGUGCCAGGUGGGUCAGGGGAGACAGCACACCAGAAGAGGUCACAAGACAGACACCUGUCCCCCUACCCCCCGCCCCAAGAUUGGGAGCAAGGAAUGCUUCCUCCCUCUCUUUGGGCUUCUCAUCUCUGUGCCUCCUGAGCCUGAUUCUCACCAAAUGGCUCCCUCCUACCCCUCCUUCCCCUCCUUCCCCUCCUCCCCGGCCCAAGGAGAGGUUUAAAGAAGUCUUCAAGGGUAACACUUACCCCAAAAGAAGCUCUCCAAGGGCGUCUACAGGCAUUGUUCACUGUCAGGCUCUGAAACUGGAGCGACUUAGAGAUGCAGCCCCCAUGCCCCCAUCUCUGCUGUUCCAUGUCUUUCCUCUCUUUUAAGCAAACAUUAAGUACCUGCUGUAUGCCGUGUGCCCUGGGCCUCAGCGUUAGAGCCAGGAGCUCUGAGAGAGGAGGGUUCUAGCCCUGAACCCUCGGGGUUGAGCUGAAUUAAAUGGAAAUGAAUUGCAUUGAACUGAACUGAAAGAGGGAGAGGGUUCUGGAGACGUCCAUAAAGCCCACCUCAUCUUUCUUCUGUUCUCCAGUAUCUGGGGCUGAGGGACACCUCAGGGGGCCUGGAGAGGAGUUAGGGGUUCUGAGCCCUCCAAGCAGAGCAGCAAGGCUAGACAGGGCUGUGAGGGGCUGAGAGGGGGACAAGUUCUCUAAGGGGAGGGAGCCUUGGGACAGGGUGGGAGGUGCAGAGCACUGGGUGGGCAGGAGAGGCGGCCCUAGGAUCUGAGCCAGGACACUUCCUCGAGGCCCACCUCUGGGCCUAGGGUCUUCCUGUGUCACCCCCGACCCCCCCAACCAAGCCAUUCAUUCCUCUCAUCAAGCAAACCAACCUGGACCAUGUGGAUGGAGCUGGGGGGGGUACUUGAGAGGUGAGUAAACUGAGGCCUGCAGAGCGUCAGAGCUCAAGGUCACUGGGUUCUGUCAAGAGCCUGGCCUAGGGUUUGGGCUUGGGCUCAGGCUGCCCCAAAUCUGAGUGUCACCCCAGCAGGACCUAAGACGCCUUCCCCAGAAGAACUGUGCAUGCAGCUGGGGAAGGGUCUCCUGUGCCUCCACCUGUCCUCCUUCCCCAGGCCCUGCCCAUCACUGAGACCCCGGUGACGCAGGGGGGCAAGGCCUCCCCCCGACCUCCCACGGUGCCCACCCCUAAUAGGCUCCCAAGGCAGGGGCCAGGGGCCGGACACGGAAGUGCCAAGGAGCACUCCUGGUUAACGCCUGACCAGAGCUCCCAGGAAAAGCCCUAACUCCUCCCACUGACGGGGGCUUCCAGGGCCAUGAGCCCGUCCCCCCAAGACGAGGCGCCGGGGACCUGGUCAUGCUGUCGAGCCUCUUCUCUCUGCCCGCACCGGCCCCAGAGCACAUCAGCUACGCGCCCCAGCUCUCAGGCGCCACCCUGGCAGGGAGACUUACCCAGCCCACCUUCACACUGGAGCAGCCGCGGUGCCAGUUCAGUCACCUUAACGUCGCCGACUUUGACACCAUCUGGCUGGUGUUGGCCCACAGCAAUGCCACCCAGAGCUUCACUGCCCCACAGAAGGUGGAGGACACCCCGGUCCCUGCCAACUUGCCCCAGAGGGGCUACUACGUCACGCUGAGGACCAGCUGAGCACUCUACCCGGGCGGCCAGCCCAGCAACGAGCUCCGGGUCCUCCGUGUCGCCAACGAUACCCGCUGCUCCCCGAUGACAAGAGGCUGCCAACACCCCCUGCCGGGCCCGGGCCCCUACCGCCGAGGCACUCCAGGCUGCCCCAGGGCCCCAGAGCGCGGGCGCCGUGGUCAUCGUUGCCAUCCUGUCGGUCCUGCUGGCCGUCGUCCUCACCACCCUCCUCACCCUGCUCAUCUACACCUGGUCUCAGCUGCGGCACACGGGAUCUUCGUUGCCGCGUGCGGGCUUAGUUGCUGCAUGCGGGAUCUAGUUCCCUGACCCAGGGUCGAACCGGGGCUCCCUGCGUUGGGAGCGUGGAAUCUUAACCACCGGACCA